UACGUAGGGUGCGAGCGUUGUCCGGAAGUAAGGGGCGUAAAGAGCUCGUAGGCGGUUUGUCGCGUCUGCUGUGAAAUCCCGAGGCUCAACCUCGGGCCUGCAGUGGGUACGGGCAGACUGGAGUGCGGUAGGGGAGAAUGGAAUUCCUGGUGUAGCGGUGGAAUGCGCAGAUAUCAGGAGGAACACCGAUGGCGAAGGCAGUUCUCUGGGCCGUAACUGACGCUGAGGAGCGAAAGCGUGGGGAGCGAACAGG
rnacentral:rRNA from 1 species